UACCUCAACCGCAAGGAGGGGGAUGCCUAAGGCAGGGCUAGUGACUGGGGUGAAGUCGUAACAAGGUAGCCGUACCGGAAGGUGUGGCUGGAUCACCUCCUUAAAGGGAGACCUAAUUCAGGUAGGAGACGAAAAAAAAGUAGUCCCUACCAAGAAUCAAUCCCAAAAGGUCGGAGCGAGGCAUGAGGCUUUCAAACUAGGUUCUGGGUUCACACAAGACCUGAAUCAGGAACAAGGGCUAUUAGCUCAGGUGGUUAGAGCGCACCCCUGAUAAGGGUGAGGUCCCUGGUUCGAGUCCAGGAUGGCCCACCUGUACAGGUGGCAAAAACAAAGAAAAGAAGCUCCGAAUCAGCACCUUAUCUUAUUUAUAUAGUAAGAGAGAAUGCUGGCUCUGAGUAAAGAGUCCAGAGGAACCUUGAAAACUGCAUAGAGCUAGGUGAAAAAGCCAAAAAAGAAGACCGCAAGGUCA
rnacentral:misc_RNA from 1 species